UACGUAGGGUGCAAGCGUUAAUCGGAAUACUGGGCGUAAAGCGUGCGCAGGCGGUUUUGUAAGUCUGUCGUGAAAUCCCCGGGCUCAACCUGGGAAUUGCGAUGGAGACUGCAAGGCUAGAAUCUGGCAGAGGGGGGUAGAAUUCCACGUGUAGCAGUGAAAUGCGUAGAGAUGUGGAGGAACACCCGAUGGGCGAAGGCAGCCCCCUGGGUCAAGAUUGGACGCUCAUGCACGAAAGCGUGGG
rnacentral:rRNA from 1 species